ACGACCUUACUUGAACAGGAUCUGUUCUAUAGGCUCGUACCACUGCAUCCUUUACCAAUAAGGAGGCAAGCACUUCAGUCUGGUUGAUGCAUUCUGACCUCUAGGCCAGAGCGUGAUUAACGGCCUGGAUGAAUCCUGAUGGGAUUGUAGAGGAUCGUUCCUGCCUGGUUCACUUGUGCAGGGCGGCCUAGAGGCUGUCUGACAGAUA
rnacentral:snoRNA from 1 species